rnacentral:tRNA from 1 species
CUUUUUGUGGGGAUAGAGGGACUUGAACCCUCACGAUUUUUAAAGUCGAC